rnacentral:rRNA from 1 species
AUCGGCUAGGCGGAUUAAAUUAGAACUCUAAUUGUGUUUAUACUAGAUUUUGGUAGUUUUGGGUUGUGUAUUCUAGGGUGAAAUUUGGAAUUUUGAGUGUGUAUGGUCUAGUUUAUGAGAUUUUGUGAAUGAACCAGAUUAGUACCUGGGUAAGUAAAAUUGAUUAAGGCAGGAGUAAAGUGGUGUUUAAACUGAAAUAAUAUUGGCAGGUUCUUAAAUUAUCUUUGAAGGUUGGACUGUAAUUGAGAGCCCUCAUUUUCAGCUUUGAUUUUGGUUUUAUGUAUGAUCGUUUAUCUUAUUCUUAAGGAUUGUGAUAUUAAGAGUUUUGUUGUUAAAACAGAUAUUUAUUUAGAUUAUAUCAGAGAUUGAUCUGACCUACAAUAUUAAGGGGUGUGGAUUAGAGACCGGGAGGUUUUUAUGAAAAUGUAAAAGACAGUAAGUUUGAUUUUUAUGGUCAACUGAAGAGUAUUUAAGAGCGGUACA